rnacentral:rRNA from 1 species
UACGUAGGGGGCGAGCGUUGUCCGGAUUUAUUGGGCGUAAAGAGCGUGUAGGCGGCCAGGUAGGUCUGCUGUGAAAACUCGAGGCUCAACCUCGAGACGUCGGCGGAAACCAUCUGGCUAGAGUCCGGAAGAGGAGAGUGGAAUUCCUGGUGUAGCGGUGAAAUGCGCAGAUAUCAGGAGGAACACCAACGGCGAAGGCAGCUCUCUGGGACGUUACUGACGCUGAGACGCGAAAGCGUGGGGAGCAAACAGG